rnacentral:rRNA from 1 species
GACGAACGCUGGCGGCGUGCCUAAUACAUGCAAGUAGAACGCACAGUUUAUACCGUAGCUUGCUACACCAUAGACUGUGAGUUGCGAACGGGUGAGUAAAGCGUAGGUAACCUGCCUGGUAGCGGGGGGUAACUAUUGGAAACGAUAGCUAAUACCGCAUAAUAUUAAUUAUUGCAUGAUAAUUAAUUGAAAGGUGCAAUUGCACCACUACCAGAUGGACCUGCGUUGUAUUAGCUAGUAGGUGAGGUAACGGCUCACCUAGGCGAGGAUACAUAGCCGACCUGAGAGGGUGAGCGGCCAGCCUGAGACUGAGACACGGCCCAGACUGCUACAGGAGGCAGCAGUAGGGAAACUUGGGCAAUGGACGAAAGUCUGACCGAGCAACGCCGCGGGAGGGAAGAAGGUUGUCGGAUCGUAAAGGUCUGUUGUAAGGGAAGAACGGGUGUGAGAGUGGAAAGUUCACACUGUGACGGUAUCUUACCAGAAAGGGACGGCUAACUACGUG